UACGUAGGGUGCGAGCGUUAAUCGGAAUUGCUGGGCGUAAAGCGUGCGCAGGCGGUUCGUUGUGUCGGCGGUGAAAGCCCCGGGCUUAACCUGGGAACGGCCGUUGAAACUGGCGAACUGGAGUGUGGCAGAGGGGGGUGGAAUUCCGCGUGUAGCAGUGAAAUGCGUAGAGAUGCGGAGGAACACCGAUGGCGAAGGCAGCCCCCUGGGCUAACACUGACGCUGAGGCACGAAAGCGUGGGGAGCAAACAGG
rnacentral:rRNA from 1 species